UACGUAGGGGGCAAGCGUUGUCCGGAUUUAUUGGGCGUAAAGAGCGUGUAGGCGGCUUGGCAAGUCUGCUGUGAAAACUCGAGGCUCAACCUCGAGCUGUCGGCGGAAACUGCUUGGCUAGAGUCCGGAAGAGGAGAGUGGAAUUCCUGGUGUAGCGGUGAAAUGCGCAGAUAUCAGGAAGAACACCUAUGGCGAAGGCAGCUCUCUGGGACGUGACUGACGCUGAGACGCGAAAGCGUGGGGAGCGAACAGG
rnacentral:rRNA from 1 species